CGAAAUCUCUCGCCGUCGCCGCUCUCUGAAACACCGCCGGAUCUAAUCUCAGAAGAGCUGAUCCAAUUGAAGGUGUUGAUCAGUGCAAUAAAGGAAUUUUGAAGCUGUUCUUUAUCUCCAAUCACAGUACAGUGUUGCUGAGUGCACUAAAGGAAUUUUGAAGGUUUUCUUUAUCUCUAAUCACAGGACAGUGUUGCUGAGUGCACUAAAGGAAUUUUGAAGGUUUUCUUUAUCUCUAAUCACAGGACAGGACAGGAUACUAAAGGUUUUAAAUUAAGCUUAUAUCAUAUAAUGCUGGACAAAGAUUGGGUGCAUCUUUGCAGGUAUUAAAUUUAAUUAUAUAGAUGUUAAGUUUUCAAUAGGGGUUUGUAGAUUUUUUUUAUUUCUUUCUUUUUUAUUUUUUUUCUCUUCAUUCUUAAAUGAAGAGCUGAUCCAGCUUAUCAAAGAGGGGCUUCAGAUUUUGUAAGAGUUGUGUCUGCGGCUUUGGUAGAUGGUGAUAUGAUUGUAUGUCCUUGCAUCGACUGUCGUAAUAUAGAUCGUCACAUAGGAAGUGUUGUAGUUGACCAUCUUGUUAGAAGAGGUAUGGAUGAGGAUUAUAAGCGGCGGUCUGAUU